UGGGAUUAAAGGUGCAAACUACCACGC
rnacentral:piRNA from 1 species